UACGUAGGUGGCAAGCGUUGUCCGGAUUUACUGGGCGUAAAGAGCGCGCAGGCGGUCGUCCAAGUCGCGUGUGAAAGCCCCCGGCUCAACUGGGGAGGGUCACGCGAUACAGGUCGACUCGAAGGCAGGAGAGGGUAGUGGAAUUCCCGGUGUAGUGGUGAAAUGCGUAGAUAUCGGGAGGAACACCAGUGGCGAAGGCGACUACCUGGCCUGUUCUUGACGCUGAGGCGCGAAAGCUAGGGGAGCAAACGGG
rnacentral:rRNA from 1 species